GUGAACGCUGGCGGUAGGCCUAACACAUGCAAGUCGAACGGCAGCACAGAGGAGCUUGCUCCUUGGGUGGCGAGUGGCGGACGGGUGAGGAAUACAUCGGAAUCUACCCUGUCGUGGGGGAUAACGUAGGGAAACUUACGCUAAUACCGCAUACGACCUUCGGGUGAAAGAGGGGGCUCGCAAGACCUCUCGCGAUUGGAUGAGCGGAUGUCGGAUUAGCUAGUUGGCGGGGUAAAAGCCCACCAAGGCGACGAUCCGUAGCUGGUCUGAGAGGAUGAUCAGCCACACUGGAACUGAGACACGGUCCAGACUCCUACGGGAGGCAGCAGUGGGGAAUAUUGGACAAUGGGCGCAAGCCUGAUCCAGCCAUACCGCGUGGGUGAAGAAGGCCUUCGGGUUGUAAAGCCCUUUUGUUGGGAAAGAAAAGCGACCGGCUAAUACCCGGUUGUUCUGACGGUACCCAAAGAAUAAGCACCGGCUAACUUCGUGCCAGCAGCCGCCGUAAAAC
rnacentral:rRNA from 1 species